CUGGGCUCCAGGUCUAGGAAAAUUUCAGUACAGUGGCUGGAUAUGCACAGUGGGCCAUAGACUCAAGCAGAGCCCAGCUUUGUUUUUGCUUUUUUGUGGCCAUGCGGCCUAGGGCAGGUGACUCUACCUCAAUUCCACUUUGGUAAAUGGAGCUAAGAACACCUGGCCCACCUACUCACAGCAUCAUGAGAAUCACAUGAGAAACUACGUAGAGGGUGGGGUGUCCAAUUGCUGUCAGGGCUUAUUCUCAUUAGCCUGCUAUUGUAGUUAAGGAGCAAGAGUUUCCUCUCUGGAGCACGCAUCUCCCCUUUUGUUGUCUUCACCUGCUGCUCACAGCUGGGCUAACGUGGACCCGCAGCUCAGACCUCUGCCCUCAUAGUAACCCAUGUUUCUUCGACACACUCUUCUUUGCCUCAGAUCCCCUGAUCUUCACUCAUGGAACCCAUCUUGCGUGACUUUAGACAAAGCUCCUGAGAUGCCAUCUGUGUUCUGGUUCUGCUUUUGAAAAGUAAAACCUGCCCGCUCCUCCAGGAUCUCAAGCCCAGCCCAUAGCACAACAUCUAAACAUACCCCUAGAUACACAGCUAGGGUCACUCACCACACUCGUGUGAGGCCUGCUUGUAAGCUCAGGACACACUGGAUGAAGACCCAGCCAAGACCACAAUGUGAACCUCACCUCCUCCAGGAAGCCUUCCCUGACUACCUUCAAAGUCAUUUUAUACUUUAUGACCAAGGUCAGUUCCACCUUGUAAGAGCAGCAGCGCCCGGGGCAGCCACCACCAAAACAGCAGGCCAACAGAGUGGUGAGCAGGGCAUUGGUCAGUGAAGCAGGAAGGAGGACCAGCUCUUGGAAGACAGUGCAGCCAGGCCCCUAUUCCCCCAGCAAAGCCCUAAGCACUGCUCUGGAUCUCUUCCUAUAUUUUCUCCACUUUCCCCAAGCCUCUAGUUAGAGAACAUUCCAGAUGAACUGCUUGUCUCCAAGCCAGGAAGCUCUCCAUAGGUUUCAGUCCAAUUCAUCUCAGCCUUGGGGGCCUCCAGAAUAGGAUUGCCAGGCAUCCUGUAUAUCAGAAUAUCUUAUACCUGCUAAACAUGUCCCACACCCUGUGUGGGCCAGCAGGAUGUCCUCCACAAACAAGAUUUAGCUUUUUUUUCUUUUCCUUUUUUUUUUUCAGGAUUCAGCUUUUAUCAAUCGAUAAAAAACAUUCAGCCCUUUUAGAGCUCUUUUCUUAGUUUAUCUGGGCAUCCUAUAUUUUUAUUUGCUAAAUCUGGCAACGUCAUUCCCAGAAGCCAGGUAUUUAGAGACCACACCACACACCACACCCUGGGGGAAGGUAAAGGGGGUGGUUUCUACACAGAUCACAUAAGUAGUUCUGUGUGUAUGUAUGUGUGUGUGUGUGUGUGUGUGUGUGUGUGUGUGUCCGUGCAUGUUAUGUGUGUGCCUGUGUGUGCCCCAAGCCCCCUGGGAGUGUGCUCUGCGUGUAGGUAGGUAUGAGCCUGUUUGGCACAGGGGUUGAGCCAUCAUCUUCAUUCAUCGCUGAACAAAGCAUGGUGGGAGAGGGGGUGGUAGGGGAAGACUCACCAGGAUUUUC
ensembl:lncRNA